rnacentral:rRNA from 1 species
UACGGGGGGGGCAAGCGUUGUUCGGAAUUACUGGGCGUAAAGGGCUCGUAGGCGGCCAACUAAGUCAGACGUGAAAUCCCUCGGCUUAACCGGGGAACUGCGUCUGAUACUGGAUGGCUAGAGUGUGGGAGAGGGAUGCGGAAUUCCUGGUGUAGCGGUGGAAUGCGCAGAUAUCAGGAGGAACACCGGUGGCGAAGGCGGGUCUCUGGGCAGUAACUGACGCUGAGGAGCGAAAGCGUGGGGAGCGAACAGG